rnacentral:rRNA from 1 species
AGUGGCGGACGGGUGAGUAACGCGUGGGUAACCUGCCUCAGUACAGGGGGAUAACAGUUAGAAAUGACUGCUAACACCGCAUAAUAUAGCGAAACCGCAUGAUUUUGCUAUCAAAUAUUUAUAGGUAUGAGAUGGGCCCGCGUCUGAUUAGCUAAGUUGGUGGGGUAAAAGCCUACCAAGGCGACGAUCAGUAGCCGGCUUGAGAGAGUGACCGGCCACAUUGGGACUGAGACACGGCCCAAACUCCUACGGGAGGCAGCAGUGGGGAAUAUUGGACAAUGGGGGAAACCCUGAUCCAGCGAACCGCCGCGUGAGUGAAGAAGUAUUUCGGUAUGUAAAGCUCUAUCAGCAGGGAAGAUAAUGACAGUACCUGACUAAGAAGCCCCGGCUAACUACGUGCCAGCAGCCGC